GGCCAUAUCGCGUUAGAAAACCGGUUCACGUACGAUCACCGAAGCUAAGCAACGUCGAACCCGGUCAGUACAUAGAUGGUUGGGCGCUUGGGUACACCAGGUGCUGUAAG